UACGUAGGGCGCAAGCGUUAUCCGGAAUUAUUGGGCGUAAAGAGCUCGUAGGCGGUUUGUCGCGUCUGCCGUGAAAGUCCGGGGCUCAACUCCGGAUCUGCGGUGGGUACGGGCAGACUAGAGUGAUGUAGGGGAGACUGGAAUUCCUGGUGUAGGCGGUGAAAUGCGCAGAUAUCAGGAGGAACACCGAUGGCGAAGGCAGGUCUCUGGCAUUAACUGA
rnacentral:rRNA from 1 species